GCUGGGAUGGCGGAACGGCAACGCGCUAGCCUGGAAAGCUAGUCCCCUUACGGGGUUCUGGGUUCGAAUCCCAGUCCCAGCG
rnacentral:tRNA from 1 species